AGUUGGUGGAGUGAUUUGUCUGGUUAAUUCCGUUAACGAACGAGACCUCGACCUGCUAAAUAGUGUAACUUAUCUUUUUGAUAGGUCUUGCACUUCUUAGAGGGACUAUUCGGUGGAUUAUACCCAGUGGAAGUUCGAGGCAAUAACAGGU
rnacentral:rRNA from 1 species